rnacentral:lncRNA from 1 species
ACUCUAAUUAGAUUAUAAUAAUGAUAAACAAGCUUCAAUUAAAUUUAAAAAAACCUCAAGAAAUUUCAAACAAAUAAUAAGAAUUCUUAAAGAAAUAUUAGAAGGAUUACAAAUAUCACUCAAAUACAUCUCAAUUCAAUCUUAAUUUAAUUCUAGUUAAAAUCCUAUUGAACUUCAUUCAAAUUUUAGGCCAAAUUUAAUUAAAUCUUAAAUCCUAAUAAAAUUCUAAAUCCUAAAUCAAACCCUAAACAAACCUUAAACCAAACCCCAAUCAAAUCUUAAACCAAAUCCUAAUCAAACCCUAAACCAAAUCUUAACCAAAUCCUAAUCCAAAUCCUAAAUCCUAAACCAAAUCCUAAUCCAAAUUCUAAACCCUAAACAAAAUUCUAACCAAAUUCUAAAUCCUAAAUCAAAUCCUAACCAAACCCUAAACCCUAAAUCAAACUCUAAUUCAAAUCCUAAACCCUAAUCCAAACCCUAGUAAUUCCUACAACAUAUCUAAAUCUUAAUAACUAAUGAAUAAACCGUUGAUCUUAAUCCAAAUU